GACGAACGCUGGCGGCGGGCUUAACACAUGCAAGUCGAACGGCAAGGCACUGCUUUUGUGGGGUGCCCGAGUGGCGAACGGGUGAGUAACACGUGAGUAACCUGCCCUUGACUUUGGGAGGACUUCAGGUAACUGGGGCUAAUACCGGAUAGGAGCUCCUGCAGCAUGGAGGGGGUUGGAAAGUUUCGGCUGUGGGGGAUGGACGCGCGGCUUAUCAGCUUGUUGGUGGGGUAGGGGCUGACCAAGGCUUUGAAUGGUAGCCGGCCUGAGAGGUUGACCGGCCACAAUGGGACUGAGAUACGGCCCAGACUCCUACGUGAGGCAGUAGUGGGGAAUAUUGCACAAUGGGCGGAAGCCUGAUGCAGCAACGCCGCGUUCGGGAUGACGUCCUUCGGGUUGUAAACCGCUUUCGCCUGUGACGAAGCGUGAGUGACGGUAAUGGGUAAAUAAGCACCGGCUAACUACGUG
rnacentral:rRNA from 1 species